ensembl:lncRNA
UAAAACAUGUAAACUUUUGGACAGUGACAGUGUGAUGGCAUCAGAAAUAAACCAGGACUAAACCGGGACUAAACCAUGUCUAUGCCAGGAUCAAACCAGGGCUAAACCAGGUCUAAACCAGGUCUAAACCAGGACUAAACCAGGACUAAACCAGGUCUAAACCAGGGCUAAACCAGGUGUAAACCGGGUCUAAACCGGGUCUAAACCGGGUCUAAACCGGGUCUAAACCGGGUCUAAACCGGGUCUAAACCGGGUCUAAAGCGGGACUAAAGCGGGACUAAAGCGGGACUAAACCAGAACUAAACCAUGUCUAUACCAGGAUCAAACCAGGACUAAACCAGGUCUAAAACAGGUCUAAAACAAGUCUAAAAGUCUAAACCGGGACUAAACCAGGUCUAAACCAGGACUAAACCAGGACUAAACCAGGACUAAACCAGGACUAAACCAGGACUAAACCGGGUCUAAACCAAAACUAAAACCAGGACUGAGCUAGAACUAAACCAGGACUGAACUAGGACUAUGCAGUUUUCAGUUUUCAUCAGAGGAGUCCCUGGUUUGGUCUGUGUCAGUAUCAGUUUCCAUCCUCUGCCUCUUUCGGCUCCUCUCCUCCUCCCUCUCUCUCUCUUCUACUCGCUCUCCCCCAUUUGUCAUCUCCUCUCCUCUCUCUCCCCCUUUCUUCCUCUCCUCUGUUCUCUCUCCCCCUUUCUUCCUCUCCUCUACUUCUCUUCGCCCUUUCCUGUCUCUCUCCUUUUCCCUCGUCUUUCUCUUCUUGUCACUCCCCUGCACUCUCACCCUCCCUUUCUCUCUCUCCUUUUCCCCUCUUGUCACAUCUCUCCUUCUCUCCUCCUUCAUUUUCCUUCUCCUCUGUACUCUCUCCCUCCUUUUCUCCUCUGCUUUCUUGAUCUCCUCCCCUCCACCUCUCGUCUUGUCCCUCCCUUUCUCCUCCUCUUUUCUGUCAUGGCUCUGGUGCCCCUUUAUGUGUCGGGUAAGACUGGUUUUAUGCUUGAGGCGUUUCCCACAGAUGGGGCAGGGUGGAGACGUGUAGGGCAGAGUCAUACAGGGUGUAGUUGCACAGGACGGAGUCGUGCAGGGCAAAUUCACGCAGGGCGGCGUCGCGCAGGGCGGAGUCGUGCAGGGUGGCGUCACGCAGGGCGGAGUCAUGCAGGGCGGAGUCACGCAGGUGGUCUUCACUUUCUGCAGCAAAUCAAACAUUUUACAGGUGGAGGAGGCGUGGUUCACUUCAGCCCCACCCUCCUUCCUUGCUACUGCCUUCCUGCGCUUCCUUGGCGUGUCACUUUUAUGUCUCUGCCUCUUUUCCAGCCUGGCCCCGCCCCUCUCUGCAGUCGGCAUCUUUAUGACAUCAUUACACUGUGUAGCUGCAUUUAAAGAUUGCUCUACAGAUACAGGUUUCACACACUCAGUUUCAGAGUCGCUGAAGUCAGAUGAGUUCUCUGUCACGUUGUCGUCUGAAUCCUGCGCGACAGGGUUUAGCGUUGGCUCAUUUAAUGUGACAAGAUUUAACAUCACGCCGUUGACUUGCAACUUUGGGCCCAGGUUCACCGUGGCGAGGUUCAGAUUCAGGCUUGCAGUUUCUCGUUUUAGAGACUGUUCUUCCUGAGAUGAAUUUUCUGUUUGUUCUGGACUUCUGCCUCCAGGUGGCAGUCCCUCAAACUCCCACCCCACACUCUCCUCACAGUCCUGGUUCUGAGUCUGGUCCUGGUUUACUCCUUGAUUCUGGGUCUCGUCCUGGUUUAGACCCAUGUCCUGGUUGUGGUUUGGUUGGGUUUUGGGAGGUAGCUGAAGGUGCCAUUUCUCCUCCGGUUUCUGGCCCCUCAGAGAGAACGUUUUGACUUCCUGUGUCUGUUCCCUAAAGACACCCCGGGGAAACUGGGCUUCCAGAGAAAAGGUUUUUGGUUCCUCUUUGAGAAACGUGUGGCUGAUGUUCACCAGAAUCUGCUCCUCCUUCACUGUACCCG